UUCGAAUCUCUAUCCUCCGAUCUCAGCCUCCUGAGUAGUUAGGAUUAUAGGUGUGAGCCACCAGCAGCUGGCUGCACAUCCUUUUUAAGUUUUGUAUUGAAUUGUAUAGUUAGAGCCACAUUUCUGGCCUGCAGGGGCCUCUGAAGGGUUCUCAGAACUGGUUAGCUGUAGUUAGAUCUUGAUUGUUUUCUUAUGCUGGGGAUGGAACCCAAGGUUUCCCCUCUUGCUCGGCAAGUUACUCUUGGUGCUGCUGACUUGCAUGCAGCCACUCUUGUCAUGAACAGGUGCCAUUCAGUGCCAUAUCCAUGCCUUGUGGGGCUUCUAGGAGUGGUGCAGCUACAAGUAGAUUUGGCCUUUUGGGAAAUGUUAAAUGUGUGCCAAAGAAGACAGGAAAGGGCAACAGACUCCUGCCACUUGCCGCUGGCACAGGCAACCAAGGGAUGGAGUUUGAGGUGGUCAUACAGGGCAGGCCUGGGACACGCAGUGCAGGGGGUGGGGCAGCCUCAGACAUUUAGGGAAGGAGCCUUCUGUCUAGAUGGCUGGAGACGUGGUGAGGAGAAAAGUUAGCCUGCAGCUGUCACCAUAGUCUGUGAUCACAAUAGUGACUCAGGAGGGCUGGUUCUACAUGUGUAUUCACGUUGCAUCCUUAAGCAACUCUGAGGCAUGGAUUUAGUCUCUUUAUGUUUGAGGAAACUGCGGCCCAGAGACCUUAAAUUCCCUCAGAGCUCUGGCAGAGCUGGGACUCUAUCCCAGGAUUUGGCCUCUUGCAUGUGAUACUUUGGCACUCCUGAGACUGGAGGGAGCCUUGAUCAUUAGGUGUGGUGGCUGUGCUAUAGACAGUGGCCCAUCUCAGAGGCAGCAGCAG